rnacentral:rRNA from 1 species
GACGAACGCUGGCGGCGUUCUUAACACAUGCAAGUCGAGCGCCCCGCAAGGGGAGCGGCAGACGGGUGAGUAACGCGUGGGAAUCUACCGAUCUCUACGGCACAACUCCGGGAAACUGGAGGUAAUACCGUAUACGUCCUUCGGGAGAAAGAUUUAUCGGAGAUGGAUGAGCCCGUGUUGGAUUAGCUAGUUGGUGGGGUAAUGGCCUACCAAGGCGACGAUCCAGAGCUGGUCUGAGAGGAUGAUCAGCCACACUGGGACUGAGACACGGCCCAGACUCCGAGGGGAGGCAGCAGUGGGGAAUAUUGGAAAAUGGGCGAAAGCCUGAUCCAGCCAUGCCGCGUGAGUGAUGACGGCCCUAGGGUUGUAAAGCUCUUUCGCAGGUGAAGAUAAUGACGGUAUCCGGAGAAGAAGCCCCGGCUAACUUCGUGCCAGCCGCCGCCGUAACAC